AUUCUUGGCGAACAUCUAAACCUAACUCUUUUGGAACAUCACCAAGCGUCUCUAUGUUUCCCGUGUUAAACUUCGAAAACACGCUUUUUGGAUUAGACAAAACACUGUACAACCGCCAAAAUCUCCAACUGUCUGAUUGCAAGUUUUUACAAUGUUCAGAAUCGACAGCCCGAAUUUCACGAUCUUUACAUUCUUCUAAGAAGAGAGGGUCAAUAAAAAAUUGAGCAAAACGAUCUAAAGCACCAUAUAGAGCAUCAUGAGACACUUCGAAGUAAUAAUUUGUAUUAUUAGAGGCUGUAUAGGCGUUUGAAAUUCCAUUAUGAGAUUCGAGAUAUUUUCUGUAUUCAUUUUCAUCAGGAUACUUCUUAGUCCCCAUAAACAACAGAUGCUCACAAAAGUGCGCCAAUCCUAACAACUCUCGUGGAUUGCUUUGACUGCCGAUGUGAACGUCAAUAGCUGCACUUGCAUUAUCUGUUUCCGGAUCUCUCACUAGCAAAACCUCGAGGUCGUUUUCCAACUUAAUAAGACGAUACUCUCUAUCAUCCAAAUUUGGAACAACUUGUCCAUUAACUAUCACUUCAACUUGCGGUUUCCCAUCCAUUUUUUAUUUAUGAAAGGAAAAGAUAAAACAACCCAGAAUUCUGACUACUGCUAUUACACCCAAAAAAAGGGUAAUAUGUAAGAAAUAUGGCAAUAGGUUGAAUUAUGUGUUUACAUACACACAGUACGUAGGCAUUACUGUUUAG